UGUUGGAAAUCUUCCUGACAGACUAUAUAUUAAAAAAAAAAUAAUCUGCAGCUAUAGUCCCAGUCAAGAAGGAUUAAUUGACUUUAAUGGUUCCUUUGAAUUAAGACUGUUGCUGUCUACUCACAUGACUUCCAAGGCCUUUUUUUAUUCAACUUCCUUCAAUGAUUCUGGGCUCUGACUUCGCAUGUUGUGGAUCUUUAAUCAUGAAUUAUCAGCCAGCUGGAACAGCAGGAGAAGGAUAGUUCAUACAUGUACACAGAAGCUCCACUGUUUCCUGUCUAAUGCUGGCAGAGAAAUUACCAGAAGCUUACCACUCCAACAAGUUUUAAGCAAGGUAUCAUCUGUUCCUCAGAGCAUUUUCUCUUCUGCUUGCUUGGAAAAAUGGUCCAGACAAGGAUCAGAUGUUUUUUGUCAUCUCCAGGAUAGAUUAUUGAGUUGUGUCACAUCUGAAGCUGAAUGUGAACAGAGUGUGCAAGUUCUGGCUUGUUUAGAAAUUGGCUGUACACUUUCUGAAGGGUUCAAGCCUGUGCUCAAAUC